rnacentral:rRNA from 1 species
GUGCCAGCCGCCGCGGUAAUACGGAGGGAGCAAGCGUUACUCGGAAUUAUUGGGCGUAAAGGGCGCGUAGGCGAUUUGAAAAGUCAACUGUGAAAGCCCAGGGCCUAACCCUGGAAGUGCAGUUGAUACUGUUGAAUUUGAGUUCCGGAGAGGAAGGCAGAAUUCCCGGUGUAGCGGUGAAAUGCGUAGAUAUCGGGAGGAAUACCAGCGGCGAAGGCGGCCUUCUGGACGGAUACUGACGCUGAGGCGCGAAAGCCAGGGGAGCAAACGGGAUUAGAUACCCGGGUAGUCC